rnacentral:rRNA from 1 species
GACGAACCGUGCAAACGUUGUUCGGAAUCACUGGGCUUAAAGGGCGCGUAGGCGGGCAAGCAAGUCCGGGGUGAAAUCUUUCGGCCCAACCGGAAAAGGGCCUUGGAUACUGCUUGUCUGGAGGGAGGUAGGGGCAGACGGAACUUCCGGUGGAGCGGUGAAAUGCGUAGAUAUCGCCUGGAACGCCGAAGGUGAAAACAGUCUGCUGGGGGCGUACCGACGCUGAGACACGAAAGCCAGGGGAGCGAACGGG